rnacentral:rRNA from 1 species
AUUGAACGCUGGCGGCAGGCCUAACACAUGCAAGUCGAACGGCAGCACAGAAGAGCUUGCUCUUUGGGUGGCGAGUGGCGGACGGGUGAGUAAUGUCUGGGAAACUGCCCGAUGGAGGGGGAUAACCACUGGAAACGGUAGCUAAUACCGCAUAACGUCGCGAGACCAAAGUGGGGGACCUUCGGGCCUCACACCAUCGGAUGUGCCCAGAUGGGAUUAGCUAGUAGGUGGGGUAAUGGCUCACCUAGGCGACGAUCCCUAGCUGGUCUGAGAGGAUGACCAGCCACACUGGAACUGAGCCACGGUCCAGACUCCUACGGGAGGCAGCAGUGGGGAAUAUUGCACAAUGGGCGCAAGCCUGAUGCAGCCAUGCCGCGUGUAUGAAGAAGGCCUUCGGGUUGUAAAGUACUUUCAGCGGGGAGGAUGGCGGUGAGGUUAAUAACCUUGCCGAUUGACGUUACCCGCAGAAGAAGCACCGGCUAACUCCGUGCCAGCAGCCGCCGUAA